UACGUAGGGGGCCAGCGUUGUCCGGAAUCAUUGGGCGUAAAGCGCGCGUAGGCGGCCAGAUAAGUCCGGUGUGAAAGUCAAAGGCUCAACCUUUGAAUGCCGCUGGAAACUGCCUGGCUUGAGUCCGGAAGGGGCGAGUGGAAUUCCUGGUGUAGCGGUGAAAUGCGCAGAUAUCAGGAGGAACACCAAUGGCGAAGGCAGCUCGCUGGAACGGUACUGACGCUGAGGCGCGAAAGCGUGGGGAGCGAACAGGAAUUAGAAACCCUUGG
rnacentral:rRNA from 1 species